GUGGGACUAAGACAUGCGAGUCGAGCGUCUCUAGUUAUGGUGAGACGCGGCAGACGGCUCAGUAACACGUGGCUAACCUACCCUCAGGACAGGGAUAAACCCGGGAAACUGGGGCUAAUACCUGAUAGGCGAGGGCACCUGGAAUGGUUCUUCACCCAAAGGGCUUUGCAAGCAUGCUUUUCAAAGUCGCCUGGGGAUGGGGCCGCGUCCGAUCAGGUUGUUGGUGAGGUAACGGCUCACCAAGCCUAUAACCGGUACGGGCCGUGAGAGCGGUAGCCCGGAGAUGGGCACUGAGACAAGGGCCCAGGCCCUACGGGGCGCAGCAGUCGCGAAAACUCCGCAAUGCACGAAAGUGUGACGGGGCUACCCCGAGUGCCGUCCGCUGAGGAUGGCUUUUUCUCGGUGUAACUAGCCGAGGGAAUAAGGAGAGGGCAAGACUGGUGUCAGCCGCCGCGGUAAUACCAGCUCUCCGAGUGGUAGGGAUGAUUAUUGGGCUUAAAGCGUCCGUAGCCGGCUUAGCAAGUCUCCUGUUAAAUUCAGCGACCUAAUCGUUGAGCCGCGGGAGAUACUACUAGGCUAGGAGGCGGGAGAGGUCGACGGUACUUCCGGGGUAGGGGUGAAAUCCUAUAAUCCCGGGAGGACCACCAGUGGCGAAGGCUGUCGACUAGAACGCGCUCGACGGUGAGGGACGAAAGCUGGGGGAGCGAACCGGAUUAGAUACCCGGGUAGUCCCAGCUGUAAACGAUGCGAGCUAGGUGUUGGGGUGGCUACGUGCCACUUCAGUGCCGCAGGGAAGCCAUUAAGCUCGCCGCCUGGGGAGUACGGCCGCAAGGCUGAAACUUAAAGGAAUUGGCGGGGGAGCACCACAAGGCGUGAAGCUUGCGGUUCAAUUGGAGUCAACGCCGGG
rnacentral:rRNA from 1 species